AAUAGAUACCCGGGUAGUCCACGCCGUAAACGAUGUCGACUUGGAGGUUGUUCCCUUGAGGAGUGGCUUCCGGAGCUAACGCGUUAAGUCGACCGCCUGGGGAGUACGGCCGCAAGGUUAAAACUCAAAUGAAUUGACGGGGGCCCGCACAAGCGGUGGAGCAUGUGGUUUAAUUCGAUGCAACGCGAAGAACCUUACCUGGUCUUGACAUCCACAGAAUUUUGCAGAGAUGCGAAAGUGCCUUCGGGAACUGUGAGACAGGUGCUGCAUGGCUGUCGUCAGCUCGUGUUGUGAAAUGUUGGGUUAAGUCCCGCAACGAGCGCAACCCUUAUCCUUUGUUGCCAGCGGUUAGGCCGGGAACUCAAAGGAGACUGCCAGUGAUAAACUGGAGGAAGGUGGGGAUGACGUCAAGUCAUCAUGGCCCUUACGACCAGGGCUACACACGUGCUACAAUGGCAUAUACAAAGAGAAGCGACCUCGCGAGAGCAAGCGGACCUCAUAAAGUAUGUCGUAGUCCGGAUUGGAGU
rnacentral:rRNA from 1 species